ACAAAUGAAAAAUCCAAUUUGAUCAUUUGAAAACUCUCUUCAACCGGACAGAGAGGACACUGACGCGUUUUGACUGCCGUAAUGGACGCCUCCUUCCACGGAGAUCUCGCUGGAAGGCUCUCGCGACAACUGCAUACGUACGCAGACACCACGCACAAGAAGCAGUCCUCCAGCUGUGAGAGCGAGGGUCCAGAGCUUUGAGCGGGCGCCGGUCCCGUGGCCGGAGGGGCAGCCGCUGCUGGGGCGGACGCGGGAGACGGCGGCAGAGAAGUGGAGCGGCACGGCGGCGGAGGCGGCGUCUUGGAACGUAGCGGGAGAUCUCGUACUCGCUGGGCCCCUCCCGUUUGGCUGCGGUGCCCUCCACGUCCGGUCUACCCGAGGACGAACCGUCCUCCAGGCUCAGCAAACGGCCGCUGUUGUGGGAAUAAGAGCGGAUAGCGAUCAGCGGCUGUCUCCGUCCCUGACCUUCAAAACACAUCUGUGAAGUGUGUGUGUGUGUGUGUGUGUGUGUGUGCGCGCAUGUGCGUGCUUAUGUUUGUGAGAGGAGCAGCAGGUGGGAAAUGAUUGCGAUGGCCGGAGGCAGAGCAGGACACAAUUUCAUCACAGUUUGCAGCAGGAAUUCAUUUAAAUCUACUCUCAAGACUCUAUUGUGAUAUUGUCAUCAUAUAUAUAAUAUUGUUUAAUUAUGUACAAUUAUGAAUUAUCUAUUUUAUCUAUAUUUUGGCUGGGAAUAAAUGGUUACGUCCCAUCUGGACUGACCGUUCUUAUCUUUUGCGUAGGCCAUUAUAUUUAAACUGGUGCAGCAUGGUGUACUAGUGGUUAGCAUGUCUGCCACACAUUUCUGUCGCUAGGCAAGAUUAGUCAUGUUUGACUCUUGAACCAAUGGAAAAAUAAGACAUGAAGCAAACCUAGGCAUCGACAGCCUCGAGAAACUUCACUUCAAAAACAGCACUAUAGGGAGAUUGUUUCGACGCGCUCUGUAUUAAACAUAAAAUACAUAGUGGAAACAAUGGCCCAGUUGCAAAGUUAGUGCUAUGGUGUGUGAACUCGCUGUGUUCCUAGCAUGAAUUGUAGCAAGAGAACGAGAAUGUCUGCAUGCGCUUGCAAGACAAUAUCGUCAAAGUCAAACAUGACUUUAAGAUAACUUCAUCAGCCUCUGCAGAUAUUUUGCAAACAAUCAUUUGCUAGAAGUACAAUAUAUAUAUAUAUAUAUAUAUAUAUAUACACACACACACAGUGCAUGCAGCGUCAACAUGGUUUAUCAUGGCUCCCUUCAAUAAUUCCCUGUUUUUUAAUCCCAGCUCCUGUCCACCGUUGGACAAACAUUGCUCUUUUACACGACAUUACCACUGAAAAUCUGCCAAAGGUGAAUUGAGGGCAGCAAAAAGCCAUAUCAAUCCCGUAUUGAUUUUGUUUUUUUGUUUUUUUUAACUAAAAUUUAAUUGUGUGACAUGCUUUUGUCAAAAUAUCCCAGGGAUUGAGAAUUAUAACAGUCUUUACACCUGCUUUUUUUUAGGGUGUUUCGAGGGAGCGGUUCUGUCUCAUGCAAAUGAGCUACAGCUAACUCCGCCACCGCGACAGCAGGGCCAAAGCCAUGUGGCUACAAAUUGCUUGAGCAAGCAUUAAGAAAGAAAAAGUAUGCAUUUCAUUUUGACUCGUGGAGGCAACAUGUCAUCACAGAGCUGCCCAAUUCGCUAUAUGCGGAACGCCACGUGACCAACGCUGAACACAGGAUAGCCGACUUAAAAUUUAAAAAAAA